GACAGAGGCCUCGAGCGUUUAGGCGGAAUCACUGGGCUUAAAGCGUGUGUAGGCGGAUCGUUAAGUGCCUUGUGAAAUCCCACGGCUUAACUGUGGAACGGCUGGGCAUACUGGCGGUCUUGAGCCAUCUAGGGGCGACUGGAACAAACGGUGGAGCGGUGAAAUGCGUAGAUAUCGUUUGGAACGCCAAGUGGUGAAAACAGGUCGC
rnacentral:rRNA from 1 species